rnacentral:rRNA from 1 species
GACGAACGCUGGCGGCGUGCCUAAUACAUGCAAGUCGAACGCAGUGGGGACGGGUGAGUAACACGUUGGUAACCCCCCAUCAGUGGGGAUAACACUUGGAAACAGGUGCUAAACCGAUACUGAUGGAUGCACCCGCGGUGCAUUAGCUAGUUGGUGAGGUAACGGCUCACCAAGGCCACGAUGCAUAGCCGACCUGAUGGGGGGAUCGGCCACAUUGGGACUGAGACACGGCCCAGACUCCUACGGGAGGCAGCAGUAGGGAAUCUUCGGCAAUGGGCGAAAGGCUGACCGAGCAACGCCGCGUGAGUGAAGAAGGUUUUCGGAUCGUAAAACUCUGUUGUUAGAGAAGCGGUAUCUAACCAGAAAGCCACGGCUAACUACGUGCCAGCAGCCGCGGUAAUUC